rnacentral:rRNA from 1 species
UACGGGGGGAGCAAGCGUUGUUCGGAUUUACUGGGCGUAAAGGGCGCGUAGGCGGCGCACCAAGUCACUUGUGAAAUCUCCGGGCUUAACCCGGAGCGGCCAAGUGAUACUGUCGUGCUAGAGUGCGGAAGGGGCUACUGGAAUUCUCGGUGUAGCGGUGAAAUGCGUAGAUAUCGAGAGGAACACCUGCGGCGAAGGCGGGUAGCUGGGCCGACACUGACGCUGAGGCGCGAAAGCGUGGGGAGCAAACGGG